UCGCUUCAGCAGCUCAUAUACUAAAACUGGAAUGAUACAAAGAAGACUAGCACGGCCCCUGCACAAGGAUGACAUGCAAAUCUAUGAAGCGUUCCAUUAAAAA
rnacentral:snRNA from 1 species